rnacentral:rRNA from 1 species
UGAGUACGAGCUGCUACGGCAGCGAAGUGGGUGAUGUCAAGCUUCCAAGAAAAGCCCUAUACCCGUUAAGGCAUGAUGGCCUGUACCCGAAACCGACACAGGUGGGGUGGUAGAGAAUACCGAGGGGCGCGAGAUAACUCUCUCUAAGGAACUCGGCAAAAUGGCCCCGUAACUUCGGGAGAAGGGGUGCCACCGCAAGGUGGUCGCAGUGAAGAGGCCCAGGCGACUGUUUACCAAAAACACAGGUCUCCGCUAAGUCGCAAGACGAUGUAUGGGGGCUGACGCCUGCCCAGUGCCGGAAGGUUAAGGAAGCUGGUCAGCGCAAGCGAAGCUAGCGACUGAAGCCCCGGUGAACGGCGGCCGUAACGAUAACGGUCCUAAGGUAGCGAAAUUCCUUGUCGGGUAAGUUCCGACCCGCACGAAAGGCGUAACGAUCUGGGCGCUGUCUCGGAGAGAGGCUCGGCGAAAUAGAAUUGUCUGUGAAGAUGCGGACUACGUGCACCCGGACAGAAAGACCCUAUGGAGCUUUACUGUAGCUUGGUAUUGUGCUCGGGCUCGGAAUGCGCAGGAUAGGUGGGAGGCUAUGAACCAUUGCAUGUGGGUGAUGGUGAGCCACUGGUGAGAUACCACUCUUUCCGAGCUAGAGUUCUAACAGCCACCCGUUAUCCGGGGGCUGGACAGUAUCAGGUGGGCAGUUUGACUGGGGCGGUCGCCUCCUAAAAGGUAACGGAGGCGCGCAAAGGUUUGCUCAGGCUGGUUGGAAAUCAGCCGACGAGUGUAAAAGCAGAAGCAAGCUUGACUGUGAGACCUACAAGUCGAACAGGGAGGAAACUCGGCUUUAGUGAUCCGACGGUUCUGCGUGGAAGGGCCGUCGCUCAACGGAUAAAAGUUACUCUAGGAUAACAGGCUGAUCUCCCCCAAGAGUUCACAUCGACGGGGAGGUUUGGCACCUCGAUGUCGGCUCAUCGCAACCUGGGGCUGAAGUCGGUCCCAAGGGUUGGGCUGUUCGCCCAUUAAAGCGGUACGCGAGCUGGGUUCAGAACGUCGUGAGACAGUUCGGUCCAUAUCCGGUGCAUGCGCAGGAAUAUUGAGAGGAUUUCUCCCUAGUACGAGAGGACCGGGAGGAACGCACCUCUGGUGUACCAGUUAUCGUGCCAACGGUAAACGCUGGGUAGCCAUGUGCGGAGAGGAUAACCGCUGAAAGCAUCUAAGUGGGAAGCCCACCUCAAGAUGAGUAUUCCCAUGGGGUAACCCAGUAAGGUCACGGGAAGAACACCCGUUGAUAGGCUCUACGUGGAAGCGCAGUAAUGUGUGAAGCGGAGGAGUACUAAUAGACCGAGGGCUUGAC